AUUGGAGAUCGAAAUAAACUGGUUUUGUGAUGGAUUCAUGAAUUUUCAUGGGAUUUUGGGAGGACAAGAUGCAUCCAAAUUCCCAAUUAGGCAAAAACCAACUGAAAGCCCUCUCAUCUUCUUAUCAGUUUUUGGGCAUUUUCCCCAAAUCAACAGGAAAAAUAUGAAACCCUAAUUGUUAGUUGAUAAGAGCAGCGAACGUCAAACAGAACAUCUGAUUCUCGCUCUUUGAAUGCCUGCUCUCGGUUAAUAGAACAUGGUGAAAUUUGUGAUGAAGGUAGUAACACUUUGUACACAGGACUCUCUCCGAAAUGGAUUUUGAAAGAUUGUGUAAAGAAAAUGAAGUACGCAUCCGGUUUUAAUGAAGCCAUGAAGCUGAGAUUGAAAUCUUAUCAAGAAGACAAGGCUGUUCAAAUCAAGAGAAAUUAAACUUCAUGAAGCAGAAGUUGCAUAUUGAAAUAAAACUAAGGGUCCAUUUACCAACACAAAUCGGGUAAGCAUGGCAAAGGACCCAGAAGGCCGGACGGUAAGAGGCAUGGCAACAACCGAGAAUUUUACUCGUUAAGUGAGAGUGUUAAGAUUUUUACCCAGUUAGCUCUUACCGGAUGAGAGACGCUUACAAACAGUUCAUUUUGAUAGUUGAGAAUGGUAUCCAACAAGAUAAGCAAGGGUGGGACUUUUGUUGGUAACCACUAAUCAGGUAAGCAUUUGGUAAACAAUCCAUACGGCUUUAGUUGCAGUAAAGAUGCAUGUUUUACACCACAUCGAGUAUUAAC